AGAGUAAGGAUAUGUACGUUAAGUGUCGGCCGAACGGAGAGUUGUCGGUCGGACGAAAAGUCGUGAGCGACUUGCGAUUCAUGUCCUGCAUCUCGCU
rnacentral:ncRNA from 1 species